rnacentral:rRNA from 1 species
UACGAGAGGCCCAAACGUUAUUCGGAAUUACUGGGCUUAAAGAGUUCGUAGGCGGCGCAGAAAGUAGGGUGUGAAAGCCCUCGGCUCAACCGAGGAAUUGCGCUCUAAACUACUGUGCUUGAGGAAGCUAGAGGUGAGCGGAACUGAUGGUGGAGCGGUGAAAUGCGUUGAUAUCAUCAGGAACAUCGGUGGCGAAGGCGGCAUCCUGGACCGGUAUUGACGCUGAGGUGCGAAAGCGUGGGGAGCAAACAGG